rnacentral:lncRNA from 1 species
GGAGCCGUGACGGGGGAAGGAGCUGAAGGAGCCGGUUCGGGCACUCCGGGGCCGCCUGAGGGGAAGAAGGGAGUCCUGAGGCUUCUCUGCCUCAGGCUCCUGCACCUCGGCUCAGCCCAGCCCAGGGGGCCGCGCUAGCCCCAAGCCAGCCGGUGUUGCAGUGAAAAGCCGCAGGUGCUCGGGCGGCGGUGCCGAUGGAGCUGAGGCGGGAAGAUGGAGGCCUGUGGAUCCCCUCAUGGCAGCGCGCGGUGGCUGAGUGACUGAGCAAAGCAGUUGAGGAAAAGGAUAGAAACCCCUUGGACUUCUCAUUUUGGAGGGAGGAGGACAUCUCGGAGCAAAUCAGGAAAAUACUGGUUGUAAUAGGGAUAUCUUGCAGGGAUAACUGCAAGAAGCAAUUGGAGGACAGGUCAGAAAAAUGCUGGAAGCAAGAAAGCCCUUUUGGAUCCCUCUCUACAAGAAGAUGGCACCAGAGGAGAGCGUGUGAUGGUCCAGUGCACAGCCACUGCCUUGGGAGAUGCCUGUGGCAGAGCACAGAGGGAUCAUGAUC